rnacentral:lncRNA from 1 species
UUUGGUUUUAUCAUCAUUGAUAUACUAUGAGAUCUUAAUUUCAGUUUCUCCUUAGAUAACCCAUGCAAACAACUCUGAUAGCCUGAAAAAAAGCAGCCUUUCCUGAAGAAAGAUGAAGACACUGAAAAGGGAAGAGGCAUGCCCAGGAUGAUGCAGCAAAUCAGUGG